ACGUCCGUCGGCGAAACGUCCGCACACGAUCCAUAAUAUAGUAGUAUUGCCAAGUCUGAUCUUUACGAAUAAAUCAUCAUAAUAAUCUUUUAAACAUGUCAUAAUGCUGUUUUAUCGGUGUUAUUGUUUUUCGUUAUAAACCAGCCUGGAUCAAGGGCAGAACAAAUUGGUCAAGUCAAAUAUGUUAAUUAAGCCGUGUGCGGACGUUUUGCCGACCGGACGUUUCGCCGCAUUAUGUCAGAGAGAGAGAGAGCUUACUUACUUCUCAAAGAAUGAAAGUCUUUGAGUCUUGAACUACGAUUUGGCUUUCACCUGUAUGAACUCAUUGGUUUGUUUUCCGCAGUACACACGCGUUGGCAGAGUUUUCACGUAUUUACUUUUGGGAAAGCAUAUUACACUAACUUUUCUUCCAAGAUCUCUAAAUUUACUUUUGCGACAAAUUAUACCUACUCCUAUGUAUGUGUUAGGAACAGGGGAUUGUUGCCCCUGUCUUUUGUUUGUCAGAGAUUAUCGCCCUUACCAGUCAUCAUAUGAGUGUUUUUGCUGCGUCGUGGUUUUGCGUCAGAACCCGACGUCAUUUUAUGACGUAGUUUUAGAUUGUGGGGAGAGUGAAAAUUUUUGGAAGAAGCAGACGACGGGAGACGAGAUAUAGAAAGGACAGGCGUGAAAGUGGUCUGACUGUACGUGUGGAUACAGGGACCGGCAAUAAGUAAAUUAGUUGCUUGCCGAGUCAAGGAACUACGAAGGGACUCAUUGGGAGUGUGGAAUCCCAACGUAACCGCCGGAGAGGUGAUGAGAAGCGGACUGAGAAGAUUUUUGGAGAGAGAGAGAGGACGGACGGAAAACUGAGGAGCUGUCUGACUGUACGUGUGGAUACAGAGACGGUUGGGAGAAAGGACGAGUAGCGGACAGAGUGUAUGGAUUGUCCGCUUUGGGGAACUUGUGUAUGUGCAAUUCAAGGAAGAUUUCAUUUUGGGUAUCUAGCUUGAGGUGGAAGUGUGCAGAGAUACGAAGCGACUAAUUGGGGUUAAAGAGCUGUGUUGGACAUGAUCUCUGGGUUGGAAAAUGGUGGAAGGAGCGUAACGAGUGACAACGUCUUCACCAGCCUUGGGUAGGGAGAGAAACUUCUUGCUAAGAAGCUUACCUUGGCGGGGACCAUUCGUAAAACCUGAAAAGAAAUUCCACGUGCUCUUACAGAAACACAGAAACAAAAGGAAAGCAAAGAAAUACUACACUCUGCUUUUCAUUAUUAUGGAUGUUGUGUUUUUAUUGUCCAAGGAAAGGGAAGGUAGUAGAUACUUUUAGCACUUCUCGUGAUGUUGCCAACACCACGGUAGAGAAAAAGCCUCAGCUGAUUUUAGACUACAAGAUAAAGGUGGCUUCGACACAAUGGACUGAUUUCCUGCUACACCACGAAAAAAAAGAAGUAGAUGGUCUAUAGUAAUCUUCUACAACAUGGUGGAUAUCGGCGCCUUGAAUGCCUACAUUGGCUGGACUUUCCUAAACUCCGAUCGAGUUGCAACUUGGCAAAAGUCACAAACGGCGAAUCAUUCUGAUGAAACUGGGUGAGGAACCUUUUGAACUAGGAAAAUCUCAAUAAGGAGAGUGUUCCGGAGAGAACGUGGCACAAUUAUACACGAUCGAGCUCCAUCACGUUCCCAGCUUUCAACAGGAGCAUGGAAUACAACUCCACUGCUAAGUGGUAGCAUUGUUGCUUUUUUUAAACCCAACAUCGAAUGACAAGAAAAUGAGAGACACUUUCGGUUGUUAUGGGAGAUUUUCCUGUAGAGUUCAUACACAGCUUGUAUGUGACUUAUCAGCUCGGCAGUUAUCAGAUUUUUUUCAGCCUGAUUAAUCUUGACUUUUGUGACAACAGAAUGUAGGCCUAAUCAAAACAAUUAGUUCUGACCAAAUCAUGCGAUACAAACUCUUCGUAUCCUUUUGUAACCUUAAGGUAGCAAUUCUGCAACAUUUUGUUAAUUAGUGUCGAGAUUUGUUCUAAUUGUGUUAUUGCCUUUACUUUAUUAUUGAGUAUUUUAUCCUAAGAAACAUUUUUUUUCUUUGUUUGCAAGAAGUAGAAUACAUUUUAUGCCCGUUCAUGUGAUGAGUUAAUUCCGGUCAACAUUGUAUUUCAUUGUUGUCUUCUUCGUCGUAAAGGUAUUAAGAAUAACUAGAAUUUUAUCGUCCUCCUUUUUUCAGAAAAGAAGGGGAUCUAUAUAGAUAUACAAUACCUAAGAAAAAACCCCGAUGAUAAUAGAUUAUUUACAGCAAAGGCUAAUUAACAAUAUUUUCAUCUCUAAUCUCCAUUUUUCGGAGUUUGACACCUGUUGGUACUUAAUACCAAAAUACCAAAUACUUAAAUAUUUCUAAUAUAUUUUGCGCUGGUAUGUUGUUCGCAGUUUUAGUGUUAUCGUUGUCAAAAUAAACAAAUAUCUUGGUUUGGGGCACAUAACCGUUUAUUUGCUAUUGCUUAAAUAGAAAUUUCUCUACAAUCCUGACAUAGCUCUAUCUCAGUUUAGUGUUAUACAUAUUUCCAUCCCUUUAAACCUUUUUCUUUUCAAAACGUUUCACCACUCAAAAAAAAAA